rnacentral:lncRNA from 1 species
GUUAAAAAUAUGAGAGAUCAGUUAAAUUAAGAUAUUUCUGUCAUUUUUUUUUCUCCUUUCAAGGUGUAAGUAUUUCACUGUACAGCAUUAUUUGAAGAGUAACAUGUUUCAUCUCAAGGAUCAUGAAUGGCUUGCAGUAUAAUUUUACAAUGUGGCUCGUUAAAUUAAUUUACUAAAUACAAUGAUCUAACUGAAGAGACCUCAGUGCAUUUCAAUAGGCAUAGGCUUAGGCAGAAAGACUUCUCAACCCUGGGCUCAGAUCUGUAAUAAUUUCCUGACAAAGAAAUCACAGAAAUAUUUUAUAGGAAGUGCCAUCAAGAAGUCAUCUAGUUCACUUCCUUACUAUCCGAGAUUUUUCCCGGAGCUCCUAUUUCCCCAGAGUCAGCUGGAUGUUCACAGCAUUUUGAGGUGAAGGUACGUGUGUUUUUUUGUUUGUUUUCAGUUGGUGCUAACUGGAGUAAUCGGAUCAGUGGUGAAUCGCCGGUUUCAUAAAUCUAGUGGGGAUAGGAUAUAGGGGAUAAUACAGAAAGGAUUAUGUAAAAGAUUUGUAUCUUCAGGAAAUACUGAUUUCCACAGUGCCUGAUCCUUAACAGUAAGCUACUGUCUUCCAGCACCUGGCUGCCUUGCAAAGUAGUCAGUUUGAGUGCCUUGAUAUGCAAAAUACCACAGCUAAUCUAGUCAGACAAUCCUUGAUCAUUUUGUGACUUCUUAAAGUAAAUAAGUAUGUAAAAGAAUGUUCCUUAGUACACGUCUGUUUUAAUAAUCUAAUGAAAGACACUGCAGUUUGGAAGAGCCUGGUAAAUGCAGCAGCCUUCUAAAUAUUUUAUUCCUGUUUGCAUCCUAUUCCUAAAGCACUGAUUCCCGUGAUUCAUUACUGCUCUGUAUGGAUUGUCUCCCUG